rnacentral:lncRNA from 1 species
AGUUAUAGAAGUCCGAACGAGCAUCGGUCGGUAACUCUGAUAUACCGAUGGUCAUCGGUCUGAGAUCAAUCGAGUUGUCAUAGUUGGAGUUUGUCAAAUUUGAGAAUAAUCGACUGUCAGUCGACCAACCGAUUGCUAGUCGGUAGAUCGUGCUUAAUAGGUCGAUCGAAAGUCGAAAUCAGGGAGUCGGUUGAAUCACCCCAACAGUUGCCCCCCACUCCCGUC